UAUGCGUGUAAAAUGAAGGACUAAUAAACAUCGAAUUUAAUUUGACAUCGAAUUGUAGAACGAAAUUGCAUGCAUGCUUUUAGAGAAGAGUGUCGAAAGAUCUUUCUUGACACAAUAUCGUCGUCUUGCGUUUAUAAUUAUAUCUUACAUAAAGGAAGUUAAACAGUUGUGUCUUCUAUUGAGAGAACAGUGUUACGAUUAAACGCUUAAAAACAAAUCUUCUUUCUAAUUAUAUUACUAACUAAGAAAAUUAAACAGUAUGUAUAUCAAGAAGAAAACUAAGAAGAAAAAUUAACUUUUCGACAAGUUUAGUCAACUAAUUUUAAUAAUAAUUACCAUUGUCAUCACCAAUUAAUUCCAUUAAUUUCCACUGUAUUAUCUAUCUUAAAAAUUUACAAAUCUUCUUUCUAAUUACACUAUAUGCCAACUAAGAAGAAAAUUAAGAAGAAAAAUUAAUUUCUCGACAAUACAGUAUCAAGAAGAAAACUCAAAAGAAAAAUUAACUUUUCGACAAACUCGUUCAACUAAUUUUGGUAAUAAUCAGCAAGUUCCACUAAUUUCGACUGUAUUAUUUGUUCUAAAAACUUACAAAUCUUCUUUUUAAUUAUAUUAGGAAUACCAACUAAAAAGAAAAUUAAGAAGAAAAAUUGAUUACUCGAUAAAUAAUUUAAUAAUUUUAAUAAUAAAUCCAUUAUCUUCUAAUAUCUUACCUUAAGAAUUUACAAAUCUUCUUUCUAAUUACAGUAUAUAUCAAGAAGAAAACUAAGAAGAAAAAUUAACUUUCCGACAAACUCGUUCAACUAAUUUUGGUAAUAAUCACCAAGUUCUGCCGUAAAACCUUCUUUCUAAUUGCGUUAUAUAUACCAAGAAAAAAAAUUACUUUUUCGACGAGCUCGCUCAAUUAAUCCUAAUAAUAAUUACCGUGCCAUUCUAAAAACUUA